GCCGGGCACAGUGCCGCAUGCCUUUAAUCCCAGCACUCGGGAGGCAGAGGCAGGGGGAAUCUCUGUGAGUUCAAGUCCAGCCUGGUCUACAUAGUGAAUUCCAGAGCAGCUGAGGCUACAGGGGGACCCUGCCUCAAAAAGACCAAAAUUUUCGUCUUUUUGAAGCAGGGUCUCCCUGUAGCUCCAGCUGUCCUGGAACUCACUAUGUAGACCAGGCUGGCCUUGAACUCACAGAGAUCCGCCUGCCUCU
rnacentral:SRP_RNA from 1 species